rnacentral:rRNA from 1 species
UACGUAGGGUGCAAGCGUUAAUCGGAAUUACUGGGCGUAAAGCGUGCGCAGGCGGUUAUGCAAGACAGAUGUGAAAUCCCCGGGCUUAACCUGGGAACCGCAUUUGUGACUGCAUAGCUGGAGUACGGCAGAGGGGGAUGGAAUUCCGCGUGUAGCAGUGAAAUGCGUAGAUAUGCGGAGGAACACCGAUGGCGAAGGCAGUCCCCUGGGCCUGUACUGACGCUCAUGCACGAAAGCGUGGGGAGCAAACAGGAU